GUCAGUAUUUAUUUGUUUGUGUUUUUAAAUAAUCUAAAAUACUGUAAUGUAGUGUAAACAAGCUGAAAAUGUGUUUAAAUUAAAAUGACACUAUCUGUUUCUUUUUCUAAAAGUGGACAGUGCUGAAAUUGAGCCCAUCACUGCUUGUUUGGUAUGGAAAAAGAGGACAUAAAGGAGCAUCACUUGUAAACCAAAACAACAUUUCAACAGAACACAAUGGUGAAGAAGAUCUGACUUACACUGAAGUGGAGUAUUUAAUGCAGUUAAUCUAUAAGCAAAGUGGACACAGACAGAGAUGAUCAAGAAACUGUAUAUUCUGCAUGUGACGUGUUAUGUCCUAUAAACAAAAGAUGAA